GUGUAUGGCGCAGCCUACACAUGCAGUCCGAACGGUAGCACAGAGAGCUUGCUCUCGGGUGACGAGUGGCGGACGGGUGAGUAAUGUCUGGGAAACUGCCUGAUGGAGGGGGAUAACUACUGGAAACGGUAGCUAAUACCGCAUAACGUCGCAAGACCAAAGAGGGGGACCUUCGGGCCUCUUGCCAUCAGAUGUGCCCAGAUGGGAUUAGCUAGUAGGUGGGGUAACGGCUCACCUAGGCGACGAUCCCUAGCUGGUCUGAGAGGAUGACCAGCCACACUGGAACUGAGACACGGUCCAGACUCCUACGGGAGGCAGCAGUGGGGAAUAUUGCACAAUGGGCGCAAGCCUGAUGCAGCCAUGCCGCGUGUAUGAAGAAGGCCUUCGGGUUGUAAAGUACUUUCAGCGGGGAGGAAGGUGUUGUGGUUAAUAACCGCAGCAAUUGACGUUACCCGCAGAAGAAGCACCGGCUAACUCCGUGCCAGCAGCCGCGGUAAUACGGAGGGUGCAAGCGUUAAUCGGAAUUACUGGGCGUAAAGCGCACGCAGGCGGUCUGUCAAGUCGGAUGUGAAAUCCCCGGGCUCAACCUGGGAACUGCAUUCGAAACUGGCAGGCUGGAGUCUUGUAGAGGGGGGUAGAAUUCCAGGUGUAGCGGUGAAAUGCGUAGAGAUCUGGAGGAGUACCGGUGGCGAAGGGGGCC
rnacentral:rRNA from 1 species